UCUAAACCCAAAUAUGGCAUAGCUUUAAGGUUUGAAACAACCAACACGGACUAGAGUAUCUUUUGCCUGGGAAUUUUUAUCACAUCUAAAAGAAAAUAUCACAAAGACUUUCAGAACAUGAGGGUCCUAGAAAAAAUAGUGGUGCAGAAGAACUAGCCAAGACGCAAGAUGGAUAUCUUGACCAAUGUAAGGCUGAAGGUCUCCGCUUCAUUUUAAUUUUUCGUUGUUCCUCUGUAAUAUGUAUCAGAAUGGCUGCGAUCUUGGAGGAAUAUAGGCAUAGGUUAAAAUCACGUGCGAAAUAUAUGCUAGAGUGGAUCUAAAGCUGUCACACGAUUUGCAUGGCUCAGUAAAUCGCGGGAGAUACCGCGGGCGAUUGCGCCAUUCCCUCCUAAACAGUUAAGCCUCACGGCAAAAAACACGGUCGUGAUUUUAGUCUUUGAAUAUAACGAGCGAUAUGGAAUGGAAUUUUACCUCUUCGAAAGAAACAAAACAAAUUCAAAAUUCAAAUCACUGCCAUCAAUGGGACACAAAUAAAUUAAGGUAGGGCGAUCUCUAAAGCAUAAUUUUUAAUAUGCCAAAUAAAAGUAUGUAGUUCAUUCACACUAAUAGCGCACACACGGAAUUCACUUCUUGAUGAGUGGCAUUUGCCAUAACACGCAAUAUUUGGGCUGAAGCUAGUACCACUAUCAAGUACCUUAAAAAUAGCUUGUCAAAACAUGCAUCUAGCACUAAAAUAACUACGUUAUAGAUUGCCAACGUAUUUUCUUAAGAUGGCAUUAAAAUGGAAAAAAAGAUUGCCAACCUAUUUUCUGAAGAUGACAUUAAAAUGGAAAAAAAGAUGCCUCUCACAUUUACAUUUGCUAGCUCCUCCCCCC
rnacentral:lncRNA from 1 species